CAGUAGCCGCGGUAAUACGAAGGGGGCUAGCGUUGUUCGGAUUUACUGGGCGUAAAGCGCACGUAGGCGGACUUUUAAGUCAGGGGUGAAAUCCCGGGGCUCAACCCCGGAACUGCCUUUGAUACUGGAAGUCUUGAGUAUGGUAGAGGUGAGUGGAAUUCCGAGUGUAGAGGUGAAAUUCGUAGAUAUUCGGAGGAACACCAGUGGCGAAGGCGGCUCACUGGACCAUUACUGACGCUGAGGUGCGAAAGCGUGAGGAGCAAACAGGAUUAGAUACCCCUGUAGUCCCUGUCUCUUUACA
rnacentral:rRNA from 1 species